UGUUUAUAGUUUUGGAAUGUUGUUAAUGGAAAUGGUUGGAAAGAAGAAGAAUUUGAAUGCAGAGGCAGAACAUUCCAGCCAAACCUACUUCCCCAAUUGGGUAUAUAACGAAGUAGUUGAUGGAAAAGUUGCGAUUAGAAAUGGCACAAAGGAUGAAGAGAAAAUAGCAAAGAAAAUGAUUACAGUAGCAUUAUGGUGCAUACAAAUGAAGCCUGGUGAUCGCCCUUCAAUGAAUAAAGUUGUAGAGAUGCUUGAAGGA
rnacentral:misc_RNA from 1 species